UUUCAAAGCAAGGUGAUAUUU
rnacentral:misc_RNA from 1 species